rnacentral:lncRNA from 1 species
AAAAAAAGAGGAGACUAGAGUUAUGCGUGAAGGAAUUGAAAAGAAAGGUGUUGGAUGAUUUUGAACUUCCGAAAAACCUAUCACAGAUGGUCAUGAAUAGUGAGCCCAUACAAGUUGAUUCAACCCCUGUUCAUCAAGGAAGAACAAGGUUACCCGGAAAACAUGCACGAUCACCGUUCACUCCACUCUAUAGUACUGAAGGCAGCACCUCAGUUGGGCCAAAAUUUUUUUACCUAAAGCACCCAUUCACAAGUCUCAUUGG